rnacentral:rRNA from 1 species
CCAGCAACUUGGAGGAAUGAAUGGCGAGAGCCAAUUGGACCAUUUGUGGUACAAUAUCGAUUUAAUCGAAUAAAAUUCUAGGUAGAAUUAUGAUGAUGACAUUGUCUAUUUAUAUUUCUUGACCAAACUACGUGCCAGCAGUCGCGGUAAUACGUUACAGAUAAGUGUUAUUCAUCUUUAUUGGGUUUAAAGGGUACCUAGACGGUAAACCAAGCUAGCUAGUUUUGUUAGGUACUAGUUUACUAGAGUUAGAUAUGAGGCGGCAGAAGUACUGGUGGUAGAGAGAUGAAAUUCUGUUAUACUUUUUUUCACAUGGAUGGAUAAUGGCACUUGCAAUGGCAAAAGCAUCUUCUUAUGUGCUAACUGACGUUGAGGGACGAAGGCUCUCACGAACAAACAGGAUUAGAUACCCAUGUAGUUGGAUGCAGAAAAUGAUGAGUGUUAUAGAUUAGAUAUACAUUUACUCUAUAAAUUAUAGUGUAAGCACUCCACCUCAAGAGUAAUUUGGCAACAUUGGAACUGAAAUCAUUAGACCGUUUCUGAAACCAGUAGUGAAGUAUGUUGUUUAAUUUGAUAGUUCUCAAAAAACCUUACCACCAAAAGAUAAACUCUUGGUUCGAUAACAGGAUAAUAAAAAAUAAUAUUAUCGAGUGUCAUGUAUGUUUAUGUUAUGUUGCUUUUAUUAGCUUAUUGAUUUGAUAUGUUUCUAUUUACCAAUAAAUAAAUAAAAGCAAAUAAAUGUAAAUACAAGCGUUGCACGGUUGUCUUCAGUUAAUGUCGUGAGACUGUGGUUGGUGCCAUUAAAUUAACGUGAACCCUUAUUUUAUUUUUAUAUAAAAUAGUUCCCCACCCAUAUAGGAUAUGAUAACAGGGAACAAGACAAGCCAUCAUGACCUA